rnacentral:lncRNA from 1 species
GUGGACUCGGAGAGGAAAACCCACACUCAGAAAGACGCAUUCACAAUGUGGGUGGGCACCAUCCAAUAGGCCACCAGCUGGCUAGAAAAAGCAGGCAGAAGGUGGAAGAAGCAGAGUGGGGGGUCUUCCUGCUUUUGUGUUUCUCCUGUGCUGGAUGCUUCCUGCCUUUAAACAUCAGACCCCAGGUUCUUUGUCCUUUGCACUCUUUGAACUUACACCAGCGGUUUGCAAGGGGCUCUUGGGCCUUUGGCCACAGACUGAAGGCUGCACUGACCAUUUUCCUACUUUUGAGGUUUUGGGACUUGGACUGAGCCGCUACUGGCUUCCUUGCUCUUCAACUUGCAGACAGCCUGUAGUGGGACUUCACCUUGUGAUCAUGCUGCUGACUAACUUAAUGAACUGAACGGAUUAAAAUGGUGCAAGAGAAAAGGGCAUUUUUACACAAAAGGAAGCAUUUUCUGUGUUCCAGUUCAGCUGUUCCAAUGACAUUUGGUGGUGUUAUCAGUGUGAAUUAUACAAGCAAGUUUCUUUAUCCAGACUGACGCAUCAACCAUGAUCUAGCAUUUGCAAGAUGUGUAAUUACUUUGACUUUCAAGAAAACAUCUUCUGAUCUAAGGAACUUCCCAAGAUAUCAAAGACUUAGAUGAAAUAGCAUUAAAGAUGAUACAAGAUGGCCACACGUAUAUGACUGGUGCGACUCAGCCCUGCUCCUCCUGUUUUUCCCUCCAGCUGGCUGGCUCAGGAAUACUCUCACAGUGAUGGCAGAAGAGCAAAUCUGGAAGUUCAAACACUCAAAUGUGUUGUUGGAUUUCUGCAUGCAUCACAUGGGCUAACAACUGGUCAAAGCAAAUCACAUGGCCAAACUAAAAAUCAAAGGCCUGGAAGACAGACAAAGUGCUAUAUUGAAGGUUACAGAAGAAUAAAGAAGUUCUGAAUAGAACAGAAGCUUUCAUAAGGCAGGGGUUAUAACGACCAACAGAGACUCCACAAAACCAUUUACUCACAAGAGAAAAUAUGGCACGGAUUGGAUUAGAAGUGGAAAGACUAAUGCAUUUUUGUCCAUAAGGAUUAGAAGAAAAAUGGUUCUCUCAGCUCUGCAAGUGAGCACAACAAGCAAUCCAAAAGCAUUAUUUGUGUGAAGCAGUUUGUAGAAUUUGUUCCAUUUGUCACUAGAACUAGUGUUUGAAGCUCAGCAAAAGUUGAGUUAUGGUUAAGCCCCAGGGUCAGUGGCCACGUGUUCAGAGUAGUACCUUAGGUUUAAAGCUGAUUCACAACCUGAAAAACACUCAGUGGUGUUCUCUCCCAAAUUAUCAAUCAUUACCUUGUGGUGUUUUAAAAAGAGGAUAGAAGAUUGCUUGACCAGAAAAUAAUGACAAUAAAAAGGAAAUUAUAUAUAGUGUGUGUGUUUAUGUAUUACACAUAUAAUACAUAAUGUGAAUUUUCCCCCAUGAUAACUAUUAAACAUGUUUAUUUAAUAGUUAAAUAUCCAUCUUUGAGGGCUUUUAAAAUUUAUAUUUCUUUGUUAACUUUGAAGUUGAGACUGCAUGCAAAGGCUGCUCCAUUUCAGGUAAAUAGUGCCUCAGUAGCUGUUUGAUUUACCUUAAAAAGGAAAACAAAAUGACACACCUUCCAACCCAUAGACUUUCUGAGGUCUUUGAAAUACAACAAUAACUAGAAGAGGAGAAUUUGCGUAGUAUAGUGAUAUGGUUUGGCUGUGUCCCCACCCAAAUCUCAUCUUGAGUUAUGGUUCCUAUUAUCCCCACGUGUUAUGGGAGGGACCAGGUGAAAAUAAUUAAAUAAUCAGAGCAGUUUUCCCCAUCCUGUUCUCAUGAUAGUGAGUUAGUUCUCAUGAGACCUGAUGGCUUUAUAAGGGGCUUCCUGCUUCACUGGGUACUCAUUCUUCUCUCUCCUGCCACCAUGUGAAGAAGGACAUGUUUGUUUCCCCAUCCACCAUAAUUGUAAGUUUCCUGUGGCUUCCCUAACCAUGUGGAAGUGUGAGUCAAUUAAACUUCUACCCUUUAUAAAUUGCCCAGUCUCAAGUAUGUUUUUAAGCACCAAGAGAAUGGCCUAAUACAGUACAUUGUUACCAAGAAUGGGGUGCUACUAUAAAGAUACUCAAAAAUGUGGAGGUAAAUUUGGAACUGGGUAACGGGCAGAGGCUGGAACAGUUUGGAGGCCUCAGAAAAAGACAGGAAAAUGUGGGGAAGUAUGGAAAUUCCCAGAGACUUGGAGGGCUCAGAAGACAGGAAGAUGUGGGAAACUUUGGAAUUUCCUAGAAACUUGUUGAAUGGCUUUGACCAAAACGCUGAUAGUGAUACGGGCAAUGAAAUCCAGGCUGAGGCAGUCUCAGAUGGAGAUGGGGAACUUGUGGGGAACUGGAGUAAAAGUCACUCUUGCUAUGCAAAGGGACUGACAGCAUUUUGCCCUUGCCCCAGAGAUCUGUGGAACUUUAAACUUGAGAGAGAUGAUUUGGGGUAUCUGGUGGAAUAAGUUUCUAAGCAGCAAAGUGUUCAAGAGAAAGCAGAGCAUAAGAGUUUGAAAAAGUUGCAGCCUGACAAUGUAAUAGAAAAGAAAAACCCAUUUUUUCUUGACAGAAAUUCAAGCCUGCUGCAGAAAUCUGCAUAAAUACUUAGGAGUCAAAUAUUAAUCACCAAGACAAUGGGGAAAAUGUUUCCAGGGUGUGUAAGAGACCUUCAUGGCAGUCCCUCCAUCACAGGCCCAAAGGCCUAGGAGAGAAAACUGUUUUGGAGGGCUCUCUUCUCUAUGCAGCCUCAGGAUAUGGUGCCCUGCACCCCCGCUGCUUCAGCUCCAGUCAUGGCUAAAAGGGGCCAAGGUACAGCUCAGGCUGUUACUUCAGAGGGUGCAAGCUCCAAUCCUUGGCAGCUUCCACAUGUUAUUGAGCCUGUGGGUGUGCAGAAUACAAGAAUUGAGAUUUGGGAACCUCUGCCUAGAUUUCAGAGGAUAUAUGGAAAUGC